rnacentral:rRNA from 1 species
UACAGAGGUCCCGAGCGUUGUUCGGAUUUACUGGGCGUAAAGGGUGCGUAGGCGGUGAGGCAAGUCUGAUGUGAAAGCUUCGAGCUCAACUCGGAAAUGGCAUUGGAAACUGCCCUGCUAGAGGCUUGGAGGGGGGGCUGGAAUACUUGGUGUAGCAGUGAAAUGCGUAGAGAUCAAGUGGAACACCAGUGGCGAAGGCGAGUCCCUGGACAAGACCUGACGCUGAGGCACGAAAGCUAGGGGAGCAAACAGG